GACGAACGCUGGCGGCGUGCUUAACACAUGCAAGUCGAACGGAAAGGCCCUGCUUGCAGGGUGCUCGAGUGGCGAACGGGUGAGUAACACGUGGGUGAUCUGCCCCUUACUUUGGGAUAAGCCUGGGAAACUGGGUCUAAUACUGGAUAGGACCAUGCUGUAGGUGGUGUGGUGGAAAGAUUAGUUUCGGUAAGGGAUGAGCUCGCGGCCUAUCAGCUUGUUGGUGGGGUAAUGUCCUACCAAGGCGUCGACGGGUAGCCGGCCUGAGAGGGUGGACGGCCACAUUGGGACUGAGAUACGGCCCAGACUCCUACGGGAGGCAGCAGUGGGGAAUAUUGCACAAUGGGCGCAAGCCUGAUGCAGCGACGCCGCGUGGGGGAUGACGGCCUUCGGGUUGUAAACUCCUUUCAGCCAUGACGAAGCCCUUGUGGUGACGGUAGUGGUAGAAGAAGCACCGGCUAACUACGUG
rnacentral:rRNA from 1 species